rnacentral:tmRNA from 1 species
GGGGAUGAAUUGUUCGACGGAAAAUGCUCUUUAAAAACUGCAAGCCGAGAAUGACACAGUCUCGUUAAAUGUUGUCAAAAAUAACUGCUAAUACAGCAGCUUUUGCUUACGCUAAUUAAAACUUAGUUGUGAGCCGUCCAUACAUUCUCUCUCCUGAUGGGGAAUUAUGGGUGUAAAUCUAGUCAGGAUGCAACUCAUUUGGUCUGAUCCACCGGAAUAGGCCAAGUUUAACGGAUCUAGUCUUAAUCUUCUUGUCGGAUGGAACAGAUUAAGGCGAAAUUUAAAGUCCGACUAAGCUUGUAGAAGUUUUUAAAUUGCUUUUCUGGACUCCGGCUCACUACCGGACAUCUCCACAA